CGUGUUCUUGGGGCUAGAAAAAAAUAUUGCAAUUAAGAACAGAGUUUAGAUCUUGCUUCGCUUGGAAGAUUGGUAAUGGAUUUGUUGUGGUGUCGAUGGAUCCACUCUAAUUUCUUAAAAAAGGACAAUUUCUGGAUCGCCUCAACACCUUCUACGUGUUCUUGGGGCUAGAAAAAAUAUUGCAAUUAAGAACAGAGUUUAGGUCUUGCUUCGCUUGGAAGAUUGGUAAUGGAUUUUCGGUUUCUUUAUGGCAUGAUCAAUCGCUCGCUGAUGGCCCCCUUGAUCUUUUAUUUCCCACAUCCAUCAUUGAAUUGUCGGGUCUCCUUAAGCAUGCUGUUGUUGCAGAUUUAUUCUCCCCCCUCGGUCAUGCAUUUAAGAGUUCACUUGAGAGCUGUGGUUUCUCUCUCCCGGAUUAGACUGAUGCACCAGAUUGUUUCACUUGGAAUCAUCACUCAUCCGGAUCCUUUUCUGUUGCCUCUGCAUGGGAUUUCAUUAGAACAAAGAAGGAAAGAGUUUCUUGGGACUCCUUUAUUUGGAACUCUGAUAUUGUCCCUAGAAAUCAAUUUAACUUGUGGUUGAUUACCAAUAACAGAUUACCCACCCAGGAAUUCCUAAUCCAUUCUGGCAUAAUUGUCUCCGGUACUUGCGCAUACUAUAAUGCUACUCCGGACUCUAUUGAUCACUUGUUCUUCAACUGUCGUAUCUCGGCCACGCUUGCUUAUUUUUGGGCGACGAGAUGUAAUUUACCUUGGAAAUCGAGGCCAUGGAUGGACAACCUUGCCUGGGCGAUCAUGUUGCUCUCCGGUAAGGAUUUCUACCAUCGGAUUGCGCGGUUCUCUUUCGGUGGCCUUUGUUAUUUGAUUUGGAAGAAAAGGAAUGAUAUUAUUUUCCAAGGGGAAGCACUGUUUGUCCCUGCUUUGAAGAACCACCUUAUGAGGAUAGUCAAAGAUAAAGCGACUACAUUCACAAGUGUUCCGGACACUCCAAGAAAUAGGCAUCUCCAAAGAAGCUGGGAUCUUGAUCCCUCCAUCUUUACGGAUCGUCUCGAGCGUUAGUCUCCCCACUUCUUCUCUCCUUCUGCUACAAGCUUCAUCAUCUCUCCGUUUCUUCGUUUUCGAAUGGUUGGCGGAGGUCUGGUGGUUGUGCUUUUUUUGUGUUGUAACUGUGGUUCUUCUCCUUUUGGUCUGCUUGCCUUUGGCUUUUGUCACGGCUCCCUUCCACUCUUCGGUCUUCCUUAGAGUGUAAGCCUUUGGCGCCAUCUUUUGUAUUUUGUCCAAAGCUAAUAUUAUUCUUUACCUUUACCAAAAAAAAAAAAAAAUCCUAAUCUUCGACUUUAUGAUUCUCUCUCCAUUUGCUCAUCAUCACUUUGCUUCGCCAUAACUUCUACAGUGGACGAUUCGCUCUUGGCCAUUAAAGAGAUCUUUCUUGGUUCCUUUUUUCAGGUUCUAUUCAACAAAAUUGAGUUCUCUAGCAUUGGACUAUGUGUAAAGUGAUGGAAUUGGCAUCACCUUGCUUAGUAUGUAUAUCAAUAAUUUUGUUAUAUUCUCUCAUGUAAUUCGAUCUUAAAUAUUUAAUUUUCUUUUGUCUUUUAAAGAAUUUUACCAAAAAAAUUCAAAUCUUGAUAUGUUUCUCCCUUUCCAUGUAAAUGUACAUGGAUACAAUUUCCUCAUAUCAAAUAAAUAACUUUUUAUGAAUUAAUAAUUUGAAUUUUGCAAAAUCUUUUGGAUGUUAAUCUUUAAAUGCAACUAGUAUGCACUUUUGCUAGUUUUAUUAAAUAAACUAUCUUCUAAUUCAUUUAUAUGAAAAUGGUCAAUGCCGUUCUUCCAUUAGUUCAAGUUUAGGGACAAUCCAAUGAUUAAAUUAAACAUGUGCAAAAAAUUUAGGGACUAAAUUGAAUAAAUUAAAAGUUUAAAGAUGGCAUUGCACAUUGAGUUAAAGUUCAGAGAUUACAUUGCACAUUAGGCUAAAUUUCAUGCAUCACUUUUUCGAGAAAAUAUAACUAAAAUGUCUACUAAUAUGACAUUCAACAUUGUUAUGACAUCUUCCACCUCUUGAGGGAGCACUCGAAGAAAGUGGUAAUGACUUUGGAUUUGGCCAUCAGAAGAUUGAAUGAACAGCUUGGGAUCUGCUAAUCAUUGUUGCUGAAAAUUGCCGUAUCACUGCAACAUGACAUUUGUUUUGUGAACUGCUCUAGCAAAUAAGCAGAAGCAACAUCAUCACUUGACAUAUUCGGUAUAGCUUCGCUCUGAGGAAGAUCCUCCUCCAUUGGAACAAAAGCUCACAGAAUCAGGACAGCAUCUGUUAUCUUCCUCGUACCAUUAGUAAUGCGACAUUCGUUGUUUCUUUCUACCGAGGUAAGGUACAGGAAAUAUGUUUCGCCAAGAGGUCCAGCAUCGUCUCUUGCUUCAUCUCAAAGGAAAGAUGGAAAGACUCCUUUCGCAAUUCUGAUGCAAAAAGGGCGAAAUUAUUCCAAAUUUUGGGUCCCCUUCCUCACCAUCUCCAUCAAGCUUGCACGCUUCACCUUUAUUUUGUUUCCUCCUAUCUUCUUCUACCAAUAAUGGCAGACAAGUGGCCUUUCUUUUUCUAAA